GAUGAACGCUAGCUACAGGCUUAACACAUGCAAGUCGAGGGACCGGCGCACGGGUGAGUAACACGUAUCCACCCUGCCCUUUACUCUGGGAUAGCCUUUCGAAAGCAAGUUUAAUACCCCAUAAAAAGCAUGGGUAUGCGUUCCAUUAGGUUGUUGGUAAGGGAACAGCCAACCAAGCCUUCGAUGGGGAGGGGUUGUGAGAGGAAGGCACACCACAUUGGAACUGAGACACGGUCCAAACUCCUACGGGAGGCAGGGGUGAGGAAUAUUGGUCAAGGUGCGUUAGCCUGAACCUGCCAAGUAGCGUGAAGAAUGCAGGGUUUUGGGUCGUAAACUUCUUUUAUAUAAGAAUCUGUAUCAGAUGAAUAAGGAUCGGCUAACUCCGUGCCAGCAGCCGCGGUAAUAC
rnacentral:rRNA from 1 species